CCCGCACAAGCAGCGGAGCGUGUGGUUUAAUUCGUUGCUACACGAAGAACCUUACCUGGGUUUGACAUAUAGGUUGUAGGGAACUGAAAAGGGACCGACCCUUCGGGGAGCCUAUACAGGUGUUGCAUGGCUGUCGUCAGCUCGUGUCGUGAGAUGUUCGGUUAAGUCCGCUAACGAGCGCAACCCUCGUCGUAUGUUAUAUGUGUCAUACGAGACUGCCGGUAAAAGCCGGAGGAAGGUGAGGAUGAUGUCAAGUCAGCAUGACCUUUAUAUCCAGGGCUACACACACGCUACAAUGGUCUGUACAAUGGGUAGCCAAGCCGCGAGGCGGAGCCAAUCCUGAAAGCAGGCCUCAGUUCAGAUUGCAGUCUGCAACUCGACUGCAUGAAGCCGGAGUUGCUAGUAACCGCAGGUCAGCAAUACUGCGGUGAAUACGUUCCCGGGUCUU
rnacentral:rRNA from 1 species